AUUGAACGCUGGCGGCAGGCCUCACACAUGCAAGUCGAACGAGUGGCGGACGGGUGAGUAACGCGUGGUAACCUGCCUCAUAGCGGGGGCUAACUAUUGGAAACGAUAGCUAAUACCGCAUACUGUGAGAUGGACCUGCGUUGUAUUAGGUAGUUGGGGAGGUAAAGGCUUACCAAGGCGACGAUCCCUAGCUGGUCUGAGAGGAUGACCAGCCACACUGGAACUGAGACACGGUCCAGACUCCUACGGGAGGCAGCAGUGGGGAAUAUUGCACAAUGGGCGCAAGCCUGAUGCAGCCAUGCCGCGUGUAUGAAGAAGGCCGUCGGGUUGUAAAGUACUUGCAGCGGGGAGGCGUUACCCGCAGAAGAAGCACCGGCUAACUCCGUGCCAGCAGCCGCGGUAAUAC
rnacentral:rRNA from 1 species